CAGAGAGUAGAGGCUAUUUUUUUUCUCGCUUACGUCUUUCAAAGAUUACAAACUUUUUUUUUUUUUUUUUUUGGAAUAUUCAUUUGAGUUCUUCUUACUGCGCAAAGUGUCACUAACAGAGUAACAGUUACAGAUUACAAUCGUAUAUGCAUGCAACAGUGGCAGCUCAAUAAAUAGAAUCUGUGUAUAAAUUUGUUUUUAAAUUGGCCCUAAAGUUUAGUCAAAAAAAUUUGGGGUCAUGUUCAAAUGGGAACCGCCCCUGCUGCAAG
rnacentral:lncRNA from 1 species